GACGAACGCUGGCGGCGUGCUUAACACAUGCAAGUCGAACGAUGAAGGAGAGCUUGCUCUCCGGAUUAGUGGCGAACGGGUGAGUAACACGUGACUAACCUGCCCCUUUCUCUGGGAUAACGCUCCGAAAGGAGAGCUAAUACCGGAUACGAACUCUGAACACAUGUUCGGAGUUGGAAAGUUUUUCGGAAAGGGAUGGAGUCGCGGCCUAUCAGCUUGUUGGUGAGGUAACGGCUCACCAAGGCGACGACGGGUAGCCGGCCUGGGAGGGCGACCGGCCACACUGGGACUGAGACACGGCCCAGACUCCUACGGGAGGCAGCAGUGGGGAAUAUUGCACAAUGGGCGAAAGCCUGAUGCAGCGACGCCGCGUGAGGGAUGAAGGUCUUCGGAUUGUAAACCUCUUUCAGUAGGGACGAAGCGAAAGUGACGGUACCUAAAGAAGAAGCACCGGCUAACUACGUGCCAGCCGCCGCGGUAA
rnacentral:rRNA from 1 species